rnacentral:rRNA from 1 species
UACGUAGGGGGCGAGCGUUGUCCGGAAUCAUUGGGCGUAAAGCGCGUGUAGGCGGCCCGAUAAGUCUGGUGUGAAAUCUUGAGGCUCAGCCUCAAGCUGUCAUCGGAUACUGUCGGGCUAGAGUCCGGAAGAGGAGAGUGGAAUUCCUGGUGUAGCGGUGGAAUGCGCAGAUAUCAGGAGGAACAUCCGUGGCGAAGGCGGCUCUCUGGUACGGUACUGACGCUGAGACGCGAAAGCGUGGGGAGCGAACAGG